AUGAUUAAGGGUCUGGAGAACAAGCCCUAUGAGGAGCGGCUUAAAGAGCUGGGCAUGUUUAGCCUGCAGAAGAGAAGGCUGAGAGGAGACAUGAUAGCCAUGUACAAAUAUGUGAGGGGAAGUCAUAGGGAGGAGGGAGCAAGCUUGUUUUCUGCUGCCCUGCAGACUAGGAUGCGGAACAAUGGCUUCAAACUACAGGAAAGGAGCCUCCACCACAGUCCGGGGGAGAGAGUUCCACUGCCGAACAGCCUUUCUCACAGUGAGGAAGUUCUUCCUGAUGUUCAGGUGGAAUCUCCUUUCCUGUAGUUUGAAGCCAUUGUUCCGUGUCCUAGUCUGCAGGGCAGCAGAAAACAAGCUUGCUCCCUCCUCCCUAUGACUUCCCCUCACAUAUUUGUACAUGGCUAUCAUGUCUCCUCUCAGCCUUCUCUUUUGCAGGCUAAACAUGCCCAGCUCUUUAAGCCGCUCCUCAUAGGGCUUGUUCUCCAGACCCUUAAUCAUUUUAGUCGCCCUCCUCUGGACGCUUUCCAGCUUGUCAACAGUUCCCUUCAACUGUUUUGCCCAAAAUUGGACACAGUGUGAUUCCAGGUGUGGUCUGAACAAGGCAGAAUAGAGGGGGAGCAUGACUUCCCUGGAUCUAGACGCUAUUCCCCUAUUGAUGCAGGCCAGAAUCCCGUUGGCUUUUUAGCUGCCGCAUCACAUUGUAGGCUCAUGUUUAACUUGUUGUCCACAAGGACUCCAAGGUCUUUUUCGCACACACUGCUGUCAAGCCAGGCAUCGUCCCCCAUUCUGUAUCUUUGAUUUCCAUUUUUUCUGCCGAAAUGAAGUAUCUUGCAUUUGUCCCUGUUGAACUUCAUUUUGUUAGUUUCGGCCCAUCUCUCUAGUCUGUCAAGAUCGUUUUGGAAUCUGCUCCUGUCUUCUGGAGUGUUAGCUAUCCCUCCCAGUUUGGUGUCGUCUACAAAGUUGAUGAUCAUGCCUUCUAACCUUUUGUCUAAGUCGUUAAUAAAGAUGUUGAACAGAACCAGGCCCAGGACGGAGCCCUGUGGCACUCCACUUGUCACUUCUUUCCAUGAUGAAGACGAUGCAUUGGUGAGCACCCUUUGGGUUUGUUCACUUAGCCAAUUACAGAUCCAUCUAACCGUAGUUUUGUCUAGCCCACAUUUUACUAGUUUGUUUGCCAGAAGGUCGUGGAGGAUUUUGUCAAAGGCCUUACUGAAAUCCAGGUAGUCUACAUCCACAGCAUUCCCUGUAUCGACCAAACUCGUAACUCUAUCGGAAAAAAAGAUCAGAUUAGUCUGGCAUGACUUGUUUUUGGUAAAUCCGUGUUGACUAUUAGCAAUGACCGCAUUUGUUUCUAGAUGUUGCAGACCACUUCGUUAAUGAUCUUUUCCAGAAUCUUGCCUGGUAUCGACGUGAGGCUGACCGGACAGUAUGCUAUGGCUCAAUACUAUGGAAUCAUGGGUUUUGUAGGGUUUUUAAUAAGAACCUUUCCGCAAAAG
rnacentral:lncRNA from 1 species